GGCCGCGGGAAUUCGAUUCAGGCCUAACACAUGCAAGUCGAGCGAUUUUCUUCGGAAAAGAGCGGCGGACGGGUGAGUAACGCGUGGGUAACCUGCCUCGUGCACAUGGAUAGACAUACCGAAAGGUAUGCUAAUACAAGAUGAUAUAAGAGAUUCGCAUGGAUUUCUUAUCAAAGCUCCGGCGGUAUGAGAUGGACCCGCGUCUGAUUAGCUAGUUGGUAAGGUAACGGCUUACCAAGGCGACGGUCAGUAGCCGACCUGAGGGGGUGAUGGGCCACAUUGGAACUGAGACACGGUCCAAGCUCCUACGGGAGGCAGCAGUGGGGAAUAUUGCAAAGGGGGCGAAAGCCUGAU
rnacentral:rRNA from 1 species